CACAAAAUGACUCUCGGCAACGGAUAUCUCGGCUCUUGCAUCGAUGAAGAACAAAUGCGAUACUUGGUGUGAAUUGCAGAAUCCCGUGAACCAUCGAGUCUUUGAACGCAAGUUGCGCCCGAAGCCAUUAGGCCGAGGGCAUGCCUGCCUGGGUGUCAC
rnacentral:rRNA from 1 species